GAUGAACGCUCGCUACAGGCUUAACACAUGCAAGUCGCGGGGCAGCAUGGGGGUUGCUUGCAAUCCCCGAUGGCGACCGGCGCACGGGUGAGUAACGCGUAUCCAACCUGCCCUUCACCACGGGAUAACCCGGCGAAAGUCGGACUAAUACCGUAUGUUGUCCAUUGACGGCAUCCGAUUUGGACGAAAGGUUUGGCGGUGAAGGAUGGGGAUGCGUCCGAUUAGCUGGACGGCGGGGUGACGGCCCACCGUGGCGACGAUCGGUAGGGGUUCUGAGAGGAAGGUCCCCCACACUGGAACUGAGACACGGUCCAGACUCCUACGGGAGGCAGCAGUGAGGAAUAUUGGUCAAUGGGCGUAAGCCUGAACCAGCCAAGUAGCGUGCAGGAUGACGGCCCUAUGGGUUGUAAACUGCUUUUAUGCGGGGAUAAAGUGGCCCACGUGUGGGUUUUUGCAGGUACCACAUGAAUAAGGACCGGCUAAUUCCGUG
rnacentral:rRNA from 1 species